rnacentral:rRNA from 1 species
GUUUGAUCCUGGCUCAAAUAAACGCUGGUGGCAUGCUUUAUACAUGCAAGUCGAGCGAAGACUAGAUUUGUAGUAGAAAUGAUUGAUUUUCACUUUGUGGAGAUUAUGAGUUUUUGCUAUUCCUGGUCUUAGCGGCGAACGGGUGAGUAACGCGUGAAUAAUCUGCCCUUGAAAUCGGGAUACCAUUCCGAAAGGAAUGCUAAUACCGAAUAACGUUAUGAAACAUAGGUUUCAUAACCAAAGUUGAAUCUUCGGAUUCUUCGUUCAAGGAUGAGUUCGCGUCCUAUUAGCUAGUUGGUGAGGUAAAGGCUCACCAAGGCUAUGAUGGGUAGCCGGCCUGAGAGGGCGUACGGCCACAUUGGGACUGAGACACGGCCCAGACUCCUACGGGAGGCAGCAGUAGGGAAUCUUCCGCAAUGGGCGAAAGCCUGACGGAGCGAUGCCACGUGGAUGACGGAGGCCUUCGGGUCGUAAAAUCCUGUCAGGGGGGACGAUGGUCAGUUUUCGGAUUGAUUGACGGUACCUCCAGAGGAAGCUCCGGCCAACUACGUGCCAGCAGCCGCGGUAAUACGUAGGGAGCAAGUGUUGUUCGGAUUUACUGGGCGUAAAGAGUGCGUAGGUGGCUAUACAAGUCAAGGGUGAAAUCUCUAUUUUCAAGGUAGAAACUGCCUUUGAUACUGUAUGGCUAGAGGACAAGAGGGGAAAUGGAACUCUGGGAGUAGCGGUGAAAUGCGUAGAUAUCCAGAGGAACGCCAGUAGCGAAGGCGGUUUCCUGGCUUGUUUCUGACACUGAGGCACCAAAGCUAGGGGAGCGAUCGGGAUUAGAGACCCCGGUAGUCCUAGCCCUAAACGAUGGGUACUAGGUGUGGGGGGAGCAUUACCCUCUGUGCCGAAGCUAACGCGUUAAGUACCCCGUCUGGGGAGUACGGUCGCAAGACUGAAACUCAAAAGAAUUGACGGGGGGCUGAACAAGCAGUGGAGCACGUGGUUUAAUUCGACGCAAAGCGAAGAACCUUACCAGGACUUGACAUGCUAGUAGUAGUGAUCCGAAAGGUGAGCCAUCCAGGCUUCGGCUUGGAAGCUAGCACAGGUGGUGCAUGGUUGUCGUCAGCUCGUGCCGUGAGGUGUCGGGUUAAGUCCUUUAACGAGCGCAACCCUUGUCCU